ACGCUCGACACCUACUGGAGGCAGCAGUGGGGAAUAUUGCACAAUGGGGGAAACCCUGAUGCAGCGACGCCGCGUGAAGGAAGAAGUAUCUCGGUAUGUAAACUUCUAUCAGCAGGGAAGAAAGUGACGGUACCUGACUAAGAAGCCCCGGCUAACUACGUCCCAGCAGCCGCGGUAAUCUGAGCGGGCUGGCAAGGC
rnacentral:rRNA from 1 species